AUAGCUGGUUUCUCAAGAAAAGAAUUUAAGUCCCACCUAAAGUAAUCUCAAUCACCCUAAAUUACCGUACCACUUUAGAGCAAUUCAAAUGAGGUACAGCCCAUUUGAUACAGGAUACAACCUUAACUAACGGGUAACAUUAAAUCUACACCUUCAAGUGGGCCUAAGAGCAGCCACCCCUUAAAAAGCGUCAAAGCUUAAUCAUGUUUACAUCAAUUUAAAAUCCAAUAUUGACCCCUUUAAUUUUACUGAGAAUUUCUAUAUCAUAUAGAACAUUUUAUGCUAAAACUAGUAACAAGAGAAAACCCUCUCCCAAUGCAAACACAAGCCAGCAAGAACCCAUCACUGGCAAUUAACAGACCUAAACAAGAGCAAUAACAUAACUAGAAAACCCUGCUUCUCGUGACUGUUAACCUAACACCAGAGCAUUACAGGAAAGAUUAAAAGAAAAAGAAGGAACUCGGCAAACACUAGUCCCGCCUGUUUACCAAAAACAUCGCCUCUUGUUCUUAUAAGAGGUCAAGCCUGCCCAGUGACUUUGUUCAACGGCCGCGGUAUCCUAACCGUGCGAAGGUAGCGUAAUCACUUGUUUUCUAAAUAAAGACCAGUAUGAAAGGCAUCACGAGGACUAAACUGUCUCCUUUUUCCAAUCAGUGAACCUAAUCUCCCCGUGAAGAAGCGGGGAUUAUUAUAUAAGACGAG
rnacentral:rRNA from 1 species